CCCAGAGGGAGACCCGUGCCCCUCAGCUGGCCCUCCCCUCCCCCCGGCCCCCGGCCGCCACGGAUCUGCCUUCCGUGUCUGUGGCUUCGCCGAUUCUGGCCAUUUCCUGUGAGUGGAGUCCCACAGCAUUUGUCCUUCUGGGUCUGGCUCCCUUCGCUCAGCACGGGGUCCAUCCCCGUGGUCUCAUAUACAAGACAUUCGCUCCUGUCUGUGGCUGAGUGCUGUGUGUCCCGUGGGUGGACCACAUCUUUCUGCCUCCACUGGUCGUGGGUGCACGCCGGGCUGUUUCCACCUUUGGCUCUGUGAGCGUCUUAUUUUCAGGUGUGUCUGCUAGAGAACCGCCAAGUGCCUCUGUGCACGCACCACGCUUCAGUCGGAUCAGCCCGACCCCGGACGGCAGCGGGGAGGUCAGUGGCCGCUCUGCUCCAAGAUCCCGGGGAGACCUGCCAGCUAGGGCCGGGCACACGCCCACUGGAGCCGGGUCUGUGCGCCUCACUCACAGCUGUUCCUCCAGCACCCAGGGCAGGGCACCCAGCACAGAGCACCCAGUUCAGGGCACUGAGUGCAGAGUACCCAUCUAAGGGCACCCAGCUCAGGGUACCCAGUUCAGAGUAUCCAGCUCAGGGCACCAAGCCGAGCUGCACUCAGCACCGAGCACCCAGCACAGAGCACCUAUCUCAGGGCACCCAGCUCAGACUACUCAGCGCAGUGCACCCAACUCAGGGCACCCAGCACAGAGUACCUAUCUCAGGGCACCCAGCACAAGUACCUAUCUCAGGGCACCCAGCACAGGGCACCCAGCUCAGACUACCCAGCACAGAGCACCCAGCUCAGCCCCUAGCUGAUGGAUGCUGGCAAACACAUACACUGGAAGAGGGAAGGAAGGGAGGGAGGGGGGAAGGCAGGCAGGCACACAGUGUGGUCUGGGGAAAGGGAGGCAGGAAAACCCGCGGGGACAGGACAGUGGGGCAGGAGAGCGGGGGCCCCAGAAGGAGAAGCGAAUCCUGGACCCCGUGCCCUGCGGUCUGAGUGGUCCAGGUGGCAACUCAGCAAAAAGUGAAGCUGUGUGUGUUUGUGUGUGCAUGUGUGUUAACGGAAACAAACACUUGGCCUUUGCCUCGGGUUCCUGGCGCAGGGCCCCUGACACCCUCGGAAUUUCCUGAGCCGCCAGAGUGGGUUUGGCGGGCAGAUGUGAUGACUCAGGGUCGGGGCGGAGGGACAGAGACACCCUCAGGAUGGGAGCUGAUCACGGAAAACCCACCUCGUGCUUUGGGGUGAGACCUUGAGCGCCCCCCCUCCACCCCCGAGCCCAGGGAGGGCGAGGGGCCCGAGAGCGAGCGCCACCACCCGUGGCUAAGGAUGGCCGAUCACGCCUCCGGGCAAGAAACCGCGACACAAAUCCCGAAAUGACGGGGCUCGCGGCUUCCGGCUUGGCUAACACACCACGUGCCACAAGGGUAGCACGCCCCAACUCCAGGGGACAGAGCCCCCCGUGUUCGGGACCCUUCCAGACGCUGGCCUACGUCCCUCGCCACCCGGCUGUUCACCUGGAUCUUUUCUGAGAAACUGUAGGAGUGAGGAUGGCACUUCUCCCGGGUCUCUGAGUCCUUCUAGCAAAUCAUCGAAGCUGAAGUCGGGUGUGGGACCCCCGAAUUUGUGGCCGGCCGGACAGAAGCACAGGCAGCCUGGGGACCCCUUCAUGGCUGGUGGCUGAAGUCGGGGACAGUCUCGUGGGACGGAGCCCUCGACCCGUGGGGUCUGCGCCAACUCCGUGAGUCAGACCUGAACUGAACUGUGGACACCAGCGGGGUCGGAGGCUCAGUGAGUGGGGUCCCUGGGCUCCUCCGGGCUUUCGUCACUGGGGACGGGCUGACAGCAGGAUGCUUUUCUUCCUGGCGAUAGAGCCAGGUGAUGGCCUUGCUUCCGAGGGGUGGGGUGUUUCUGGGGGGCUACACAGGACUGUCGCGAGGAGAGCUGAGAGGAUGCAGGCUGAGAGCCCGGCCCCCCAGUGGGGUCAGAGGAGGAAGCCCCCCGUGCUGUUAGCAGGUAACAGGCAGCAUCCCAAGGCCCCUGAAUGUCCCGUGAACGGGUGGGCACUUGACUCUGUGGGCAAGAGGCUGCCAGCUCAGCCCCCUUCAGGGGCCAGACCAGCAACAGAAACAGGUGAAGCAAGCAGCGUGUGACGAUAACCCCAUGGCCUCCUCAGCCAAUAGUUACCUUCCCCGCUUUUGAAGGCAACAGGGGCAAAGCUGGACAUUUCCGUUCCGUAAGAAAAUCGGCAGCACAAGGAUGACAACAUGAGCAUGAAUCCACAGCUUUCUGUCGGGGAGACAGACAACAGGGAGUGGUGGGGUCUGCGGCAAAGUGGAGCAAGGCUGCAUCUCAAGGGCAUCUCUGGCAGCUGCCCUUCCAGGACGUGGCAACAGCAUGUCCAGCAACUCGCCAUCUCUACAAGGAAAUUACAAUGACACUCAUGACUCACAUAAAUUAUCUUUCUGCUGGGGGAGACUGGCGUCAAGGAAGUGCCCGCUGUGAACAUUCUCAGAAGGUUACCCAGACGCGUGCGUUCUCCUUGUGCUUCUAAAAUUGCUCCUGUCCCGUCAGUGGCCGGCCCGGCGGGGAUGCGCCAGGCAGGGCGUAAUUGCUGCCCUCUGCUCACCUCCGGAGGCACACGCUGUUCCCAUUUUUCUUGCGAUCAGUACCUCUGAGACACACACUUUCGAACUAGCGCUGGAGAUAUCUGGAAAUAAAGUCAAAUCUUUGUAUAUGAUGAAAAUAUUUUGGAAAAGAAAUAUCCAGUCUUAAAUCAACAGAAAUAAAAUCUAGGUACAUCUUGAAUAAACAAAACAAAAUGUAAUUUUGGAAGGGGUGCCUAGGCUGGGCCAGGCUCCCCAGGGGAUCGG
ensembl:lncRNA